rnacentral:rRNA from 1 species
AAAUUGAAGAGUUUGAUCAUGGCUCAGAUUGAACGCUGGCGGCAGGCCUAACACAUGCAAGUCGAGCGGUAGCACAGAGAGCUUGCUCUCGGGUGACGAGCGGCGGACGGGUGAGUAAUGUCUGGGAAACUGCCUGAUGGAGGGGGAUAACUACUGGAAACGGUAGCUAAUACCGCAUAAUGUCGCAAGACCAAAGUGGGGGACCUUCGGGCCUCAUGCCAUCAGAUGUGCCCAGAUGGGAUUAGCUAGUAGGUGGGGUAACGGCUCACCUAGGCG